CGGAUGAACGCUGGCGGCGUGCUUAACACAUGCAAGUCGAACGGAGAAAGGGUAGCUUGCUAUCUUUCUUAGUGGCGGACGGGUGAGUAACGCGUGGGUAACCUGCCCUUUGCAGGGGGAUAACAGUGAGAAAUCACUGCUAAUACCGCAUACCAACUUCUUUCGCAUGAAAGAAGUUUGAAAGAUUUAUCGGCAAAGGAUGGACCCGCGUUGGAUUAGCUAGUUGGUGAGAUAACAGCCCACCAAGGCAACGAUCCAUAGCCGGCCUGAGAGGGUGAACGGCCACACUGGGACUGAGACACGGCCCAGACUCCUACGGGAGGCAGCAGUGGGGAAUAUUGCACAAUGGGCGAAAGCCUGAUGCAGCGACGCCGCGUGAAGGAUGAAGGUCUUCGGAUUGUAAACUUCUAUCAGCAGGGAAGAAAGGGCCUAUGGCCUAUGACGGUACCUGACUAAGAAGCCCCGGCUAACUACGUG
rnacentral:rRNA from 1 species